UACGGGGGGAGCAAGCGUUGUUCGGAUUUACUGGGCGUAAAGGGCGCGUAGGCGGUCAGCACAAGUCAGUUGUGAAAUCUCCGGGCUUAACUCGGAAAGGUCAACUGAUACUGUGCGACUAGAGUGCAGAAGGGGCAACUGGAAUUCUCGGUGUAGCGGUGAAAUGCGUAGAUAUCGAGAGGAACACCUGCGGCGAAAGCGGCGCGCUGGACCACUACUGACGCUGAGGAACGAAAGCUAGGGGAGCAAACAGG
rnacentral:rRNA from 1 species